rnacentral:rRNA from 1 species
UGCAGUNGANCGCUGAAGCCCGAGCUUGCUCGGGUGGAUGAGUGGCGAACGGGUGAGUAACACGUGAGUAACCUGCCCAUGUCUCUGGGAUAAGCGCUGGAAACGGCGUCUAAUACUGGAUACGAGCAUCCACUGCAUGGUGAGGUGUUGGAAAGAUUUAUCGGACAUGGAUGGACUCGCGGCCUAUCAGCUUGAUGGUGAGGUAAUGGCUCACCAUGGCGACGACGGGUAGUCGGCCUGAGAGGGUGACCGGCCACACUGGGACUGAGACACGGCCCAGACUCCUACGGGAGGCAGCAGUGGGGAAUAUUGCACAAUGGGCGCAAGCCUGAUGCAGCAACGCCGCGUGAGGGAUGACGGCCUUCGGGUUGUAAACCUCUUUUGUCAGGGAAGAAGCCUUUGGGUGACGGUACCUGGAGAAAAAGCACCGGCUAACUACGUGCCAGCAGCCGCGGUAAUACGUAGGGUGCAAGCGUUGUCCGGAAUUAUUGGGCGUAAAGAGCUCGUAGGCGGCUUGUCGCGUCUGCUGUGAAAACCCGAGGCUCAACCUCGGGCCUGCAGUGGGUACGGGCAGGCUAGAGUGCGGUAGGGGAGAUUGGAAUUCCUGGUGUAGCGGUGGAAUGCGCAGAUAUCAGGAGGAACACCGAUGGCGAAGGCAGAUCUCUGGGCCGCUACUGACGCUGAGGAGCGAAAGCAUGGGGAGCGAACAGGAUUAGAUACCCUGGUAGUCCAUGCCGUAAACGUUGGGAACUAGAUGUAGGGCCUGUUCCACGGGUUCUGUGUCGUANCUAACGCAUUAAGUUCCCCGCCUGGGGAGUACGGCCGCAAGGCUAAAACU